rnacentral:rRNA from 1 species
AGUGAACGCUGGCGGUAGGCCUAACACAUGCAAGUCGAACGGCAGCACAGUAAGAGCUUGCUCUUACGGGUGGCGAGUGGCGGACGGGUGAGGAAUACAUCGGAAUCUACUUUUUCGGGGGGGAUAACGUAGGGAAACUUACGCUAAUACCGCAUACGACCUACGGGUGAAAGCAGGGGAUCUUCGGACCUUGCGCGAAUGAAUGAGCCGAUGUCGGAUUAGCUAGUUGGGGGGGUAAAGGCCCACCAAGGCGACGAUACGUAGCUGGUCUGGGAGGGUGGUCGGCCACACUGGAACUGGGACACGGUCCAGGCUCCUACGGGAGGCCGCAGUGGGGAAUGUUGGACAAUGGGCGCAAGCCUGAUCCAGCCAUACCGCGUGGGUGAAGAAGGCCUUCGGGUUGUAAAGCCCUUUUGUUGGGAAAGAACAGCAGCAGGUUAAUACCCCGCUGUUCUGACGGUACCCAAAGAAUAAGCACCGGCUAACUUCGUG